rnacentral:rRNA from 1 species
UAUACAAUGGAGAGUUUGAUCCUGGCUCAGGAUGAACGCUAGCGGCAGGCCUAAUACAUGCAAGUCGAACGGGAUUCAGAUAGCAAUAUUUGAUGAGAGUGGCGCACGGGUGCGUAACGCGUAUGCAACCUACCUCUAACAGGGGGAUAGCACCGAGAAAUCGGUAUUAAUACCCCGUAGUAUCUUGAUAUGGCAUCAUAUCGGGAUUAAAGUUCCGGCGGUUAGAGAUGGGCAUGCGUGCCAUUAGCUAGUUGGUGAGGUAACGGCUCACCAAGGCAACGAUGGCUAGGGGUUCUGAGAGGAUUAUCCCCCACACUGGUACUGAGACACGGACCAGACUCCUACGGGAGGCAGCAGUAAGGAAUAUUGGGCAAUGGACGCAAGUCUGACCCAGCCAUGUGAAGAAUAAGCAUCGGCUAACUCCGUGCCAGCAGCCGCGGUAAUACGGAGGAUGCAAGCGUUAUCCGGAUUCAUUGGGUUUAAAGGGUGCGCAGGCGGGCAAAUAAGUCAGGGGUGAAAUCCUACGGCUCAACCGUGGAACUGCCUUUGAUACUGUUAGUCUUGAGUAUAAUUGAAGUGGGCGGAAUGUAGCAUGUAGCGGUGAAAUGCAUAGAGAUGCUACAGAACACCGAUAGCGAAGGCAGCUCACUAAGUUAAUACUGACGCUCAUGCACGAAAGCGUGGGGAUCAAACAGGAUUAGAUACCCUGGUAGUCCACGCUGUAAACGAUGAUCACUCGUUGUUGGCGAUACACAGUCAGCGGCUAAGCGAAAGUGAUAAGUGAUCCACCUGGGGAGUACGAUCGCAAGGUUGAAACUCAAAGGAAUUGACGGGGGCCCGCACAAGCGGUGGAGCAUGUGGUUUAAUUCGAUGAUACGCGAGGAACCUUACCUGGGCUCAAAUGUAAGUUGACAGAUUCUGAAAGGGAUUCUUCUUCGGACAAUUUACAAGGUGCUGCAUGGUUGUCGUCAGCUCGUGCCGUGAGGUGUCGGGUUAAGUCCCAUAACGAGCGCAACCCCUAUUCUUAGUUGCCAUCAGGUUAAGCUGGGGACUCUAGGAAAACUGCCUACGCAAGUAGAGAGGAAGGUGGGGAUGACGUCAAAUCAGCACGGCCCUUACGUCCAGGGCUACACACGUGCUACAAUGGCCGGUACAAAGGGCAGCUACCAGGUGACUGGAUGCUAAUCUCGAAAGCCGGUCUCAGUUCGGAUCGAAGUCUGCAACCCGACUUCGUGAAGCUGGAAUCGCUAGUAAUCGCGCAUCAGCCAUGGCGCGGUGAAUACGUUCCCGGGCCUUGUACACACCGCCCGUCAAGCCAUGGAAGCUGGGGGUACCUGAAGUCGGUGACCGUAAUAGGAGCUGCCUAGGGUAAACUUGGUAACUGGGGCUAAGUCGUAACAAGGUAGCCGUACCGGAAGGUGUGGCUGGAAUACCUCCUUUCUGGAGAGAC